ACGAACGCUGGCGGCAGGCCUAACACAUGCAAGUCGAACGCUCGUAGCAAUACGAGAGUGGCAGACGGGUGAGUAACGCGUGGGAACCUUCCCAGUGGUACGGAAUAGCCCAGGGAAACUUGGAGUAAUACCGUAUACGCCCGAAAGGGGAAAGAUUUAUCGCCAUUGGAUGAGCCCGCGUCGGAUUAGCUAGUUGGUGAGGUAAUGGCUCACCAAGGCGACGAUCCGUAGCUGGUCUGAGAGGAUGAUCAGCCACACUGGGACUGAGACACGGCCCAGACUCCUACGGGAGGCAGCAGUGGGGAAUAUUGGACAAUGGGCGAAAGCCUGAUCCAGCCAUGCCGCGUGAGUGACGAAGGCCUUAGGGUUGUAAAGCUCUUUUGUCGGGGACGAUAAUGACGGUACCCGAAGAAUAAGCUCCGGCUAACUUCGU
rnacentral:rRNA from 1 species